rnacentral:rRNA from 1 species
AAUCAACGCUGGCGGCGUGCCUCAGACAUGCAAGUCGAACGAUUAAGACUCCCUUCGGGGAGUGCAUAAAGUGGCGCACGGGUGAGUAACACGUAAGUAAUCUACCCUCGAGUGGGGAAUAACAACCGGAAACGGUUGCUAAUACCGCAUAAUGCAGCGGCACCGCAAGGGGACAGUUGUUAAAGGAGUAAUCCGCUUGAGGAGGAGCUUGCGGCAGAUUAGCUAGUUGGUAAGGUAACGGCUUACCAAGGCUACGAUCUGUAUCCGGCCUGAGAGGGCGGUCGGACACACUGACACUGAAUAACGGGUCAGACUCCUACGGGAGGCAGCAGUCGGGAAUUUUGGGCAAUGGGCGAAAGCCUGACCCAGCAACGCCGCGUGAAGGAUGAAGUAUUUCGGUAUGUAAACUUCGAAAGAAUAGGAAGAAUAAAUGACGGUACUAUUUAUAAGCUCCGGCUAACUACGUGCCAGCCGCCGCGGUAA